ACUUAGCAGGAUAACAAGUUGGCACCUUUCUAUGGAGCUGAGGUGUCUCUGAAUGUCCUUUAGCACUCUCCUCUGAAGUGGUACUCCAAAACCCAUUGUCUCAUGACAUUUCUCUCAACCUGAUCCAGGUGACCUAACAAGAGAGGGUCCUGGACAUCAUACACAGGGCCUUAGAGCAACUCUCGCCAAGGACGAGGAUCCAGAAGAGUUUGAGCUACUGUACAUUGUGUCAGCACAUGAGAAAAUAAAAGUCCUGACCAUGAAGUCAUCUUCUUCUCCAUGAACCCUCAAGUAAAGUACUAUUUUAUCUUGAGAAAGAGACCCAUCAAGAAGAGGGCCAAGGUCCAGGGAAAAGAGGGCCCUGGAAUAUCACUUGCUGAUGGAGGAGGACCCAGAAGACUAUGAGCUGGGACAAAUCAUCUCCCAACAGCACAAAAUGAAGAUUCCAAAGAACACGAAUGUUUACUAUGCGAUGAAUCCCCAUGUCAGGAGAGACUUUGUCCUGAGGAAGAGGACCUACCCUCAGGAGGAAAAUGAUGACUGGAUCCCUCCCCAACCUCCCUCUUAUGAGGCAACUCAGGUGCGAGGUCACCGCUGGAACCUGUGGACAAGAAUCUGCUCCUGUCUCUCUGGGCAGUGCUGAAGCAUCACAUGAUCGAUGAUCACUGAGAUGUAUUUCUAAAAUGUUGGCUCGACAUUUUGAAGUCAUCCAUUCCAUAUAUGAUUUGUCCUUAGGUCUUUGUUAUGUAUAGUUUUAGUA